rnacentral:tRNA from 1 species
CAGGGAGACAAAACUGAUUAUGAUGUCUGAUUAAAAUAUUAGGCCUUAAUCCUGUCACCUUAGGUCGAUCGGUACCUCAGAUUGAUGGCUAUAAAAUAAGGAUUAAUUUUUAUUUUUUGCUUUCGGUUUUAGUUCCUAAACUUGUCUAGGUCACACCCAACAAACUUUCUCCUGGGCUAUUAGCUCAGGCGGUUAGAGCGCACCCCUGAUAAGGGUGAGGUCCCUGGUUCAAGUCCAGGAUGGCCCAUUCGUUGUUGGGGGUAUAGCUCAGUUGGUAGAGCGCCUGCUUUGCAAGCAGGAUGUCAGCGGUUCGAGUCCGCUUACCUCCACUGAUCAACUACCUGAUAACUCAGUUUGGAGAUUGUUGUUUGGUUAAUGUGAUUUAGACGUUGUUCAUCUGAAUGAACCUAGCUUCCUAUCAACCGUUAAUUAAAUUUGACUGAUAAGACGCUGGGCUCACUGAUAUUUCAAAUGAAUAUCAGUUUGAUUCAGCAGAACCUUGACAACUGCAUAGGAAAAUCUAGAAAAAUAAAGCAUCUCAUAGAUAUAUAUGGGAAAGUGUUUUUCAUGAAUUUGAAAAUCACAUUUCUAUGUUCAAUUCUUGAGUUAGAGCACAAUUUAAUUUUGCAUUUUUAAAGAUGCAAAAUGAAUUAAUU